UACGUAGGGACCAAGCGUUGUUCGGAUUUACUGGGCGUAAAGGGCGCGUAGGCGGCAAUUCAAGUCAGUUGUGAAAUCUCCGAGCUUAACUCGGAACGGUCAACUGAUACUGUUUUGCUAGAGUACAGAAGGGGCAAUCGGAAUUCUUGGUGUAGCGGUGAAAUGCGUAGAUAUCAAGAGGAACACCUGAGGUGAAGACGGGUUGCUGGGCUGAUACUGACGCUGAGGCGCGAAAGCCAGGGAGCGAACGGG
rnacentral:rRNA from 1 species